CCAUUAACCAUAUAUAUUGUACGGAUUUUAAUCCCCUAGUAACCAACAUGUGAUUUGAGUCUUUGAUUUAUGAAAUGUCAAUACGAUUUACUCACACAAAACAAAUAAUUAUAUUUUUUAAGCAGCGACCAAAUUUGGUUGGGUUUCGAAGAUUCACAUUCCAUACAAAUUGAACUAAAACCUUAAAGAAAUCUACAGUCACUAAACAGUCAUUUUCCAUCACCCUGUUUUCCGACCAGAAGUUUUUCCGUUAUAACAAAGUAAUCACACAACUCACAAUUCAAAAAUUAUCCAAAACGGAAAUCCUCAGUACAAAUCAUACAAUGACAGACAGAAAGAGGGGACUCGAGGGAGGAGGAUAGUCUCUAUAGUAGAAGUUUGAAACGAUUUCAUCGGGGAAUCUUGACUCUGCUCAAACAAUAGUUCAUUCUGAAUAUCAGACCUUAUUCCACGGUGAUGUUGCUGAGAUAGGUAUUCGUGCAAAAUAAUGCAUACAUACGAAUCUACCUUCGAAACUUGUGCUUAUUGUUUCCGACUACUUUUUUCUUCAAUGCCUGAUUUCACAAAUCUCAAUCUGAGGACUUGAAGAACAUCUUCUACUUUCACUUCUCUN
rnacentral:lncRNA from 1 species